AUGCAGUGGAAGCAAGCAAAGACGCAUGGUGGAAGAGGGUAUGCCUAUGGUCAUCGCCUUCCGAGACGACACGACCGAGCGAUUCCGAUUUCUCUCAUUCCUUGCCUCAAUGACAUGCUCUGCUUCUUGAGCUUGCAGGUUCUGGCCUUUCUCUUCUUCUCUUAUUGGUUUGCACUCCAAUCAAGCCAUGGUGCAUAUUGCCUCGGAUUUACAUAUUUGAGUGUGCUUUUAUACAUCAAUUUUGAUUUGUUUGUUUUUCAUCUUUUUAGGGAUAUGAGGAGAGAGCUCUAUUGUUGGCAGUGA
rnacentral:rRNA from 1 species